ensembl:ncRNA ZC416.9 ncRNA
AGAGGACCUCUUGGGCUCUAAGAUUUCUACUUCUCAGGUUCUUAGCAGCACUCUCAGGUUUCUAACACAACUGCACUUCUUCUUCUCGCGGUCUUCUCAGGCUUCUCAGGCUUGGCUUCUCGCGGUCUGCUCAGGCUCA